CAGCUGUGCAAUUAGCCGUGUCAUCUGUAGGUGAAAUUCAACACCUCAAAGAGGCAAUAAUUCAAGGUAUCAGUCCACACUUGUUGCUUCCGGAGUUGGUCAUAGCCUCUUAAGAGAAAAGGUGAGCCAUCUCAAGAAUGAAAUAUCUGGCUAUGUGUGGGAGCAAUCAGAGAAAAGAACCAAGAAGAACAGCAACUGUGAAACUCUGAAUCAAGCCUCCUGGAAGGGGUCCUAUUCCCUUUCUGUGCCUUCACGCAGAUGGCUUCAGGAUGCCAUCCUCACGCUGCCCUCCACCUGACGCCCUGCUUGUGGGGGAGGAGGGCAAAAGGAGGAACACGAACAGUUGCAAUUGUAAUUGUGGACCUUCAGUGAUGGUGUCUCCCCAGCAGCAAACCAGAUGCUGUAUCUCACCCCUGUGCAGGCAGGUUGAGCGAGAGGGGCUUUUCUGCUCCAGUAUUCUCUCCUCCAUCCCGACAGCAGGCUCUUUCUUGUCCCCGGUGCCCCAGGGUGGGCCUGUCAGCCGCCCCAGUCACGUGAGCUGGCCCCAGAAGCUUCUCCUCUCCGUGACAGCAGUCCUUGGAGUCACCCUGACCUCUAGCCAGGGGCUCCAGGGUCACAUUUGUGGCACAGGCCUCCCCCCAAGCACCUCAGUAAGGUGGUUGCACUUUGUGAGGAAGGGAGGCCCAGCUGGAGAGGAAAGGCGGGGAGCUCCGGGGCAGGGUGGCUGGAGGUGGGCAGUGCCUGGAAGUGUGCCAGAACAAACCGGGCCAAUCCUCUCCUGGGCACAAAGGACGCUCUGUGAGGGACACGCCCAGCCCCUGUGCAAUCAGGGAGGCUCACGUUUCUUACCACAGGGAGGCCCAUUCCCAGACGGGCUUGGGUGUGGCCUGUAGGCUGAACCCUGCUGGGUAGGGCCCUGUGGACUCCUGGUGACCCAUCUGGGUGACUUCAGUCCUCAUUAUGAUCUGGUCUGCUCACGAAGAUGGAGAGAGGCCUGGGCAGGCAGCUUAACAUCACAGGACAUGGGCAAUUGCCUCUUCGUCCUCUGGGAAAGAGACUUCCUAGGUCUACUCCCCACAACACACACACACACACACCACACACACACACACACACACACACUCUUUCUCAGACACAUAUACUCAUAUCCAUGCAAUCAUACACUCAGUCUAAAUGAGAGAAGAUCUCCAGCCAUACUUAGACUAGUCAAACAUGCUGUGCAGACAUUUGCCCCCACCCCCAAGUCAUUGUCACGGAGAAAGUAGACUAGGUCUCAAAGAAAUCAGGCUAGCAAGUAUGCAACAAGAACCACCGUACUGGCCACAGGCAUAAUUAUCGUUUUUUUCUUUAGAACUUGGAGUCUCUCCCUGCCACCAGGCACCUUCUCAUUGUGACUCUGCAUUGCAUGAAAGAAGGGAAGGGAAGGGGAGGGGAGGGGAGGGGAGGGGAGGGGAGGGGAGGGAAGGGAAGGGAAGGGAAGGGAAGGGAAGGGAGAAACUUUGGGGUAAGCAAAAUAGCAUGGAAGACAUAUUGAAAAGGUCCAUGCUGAUGUAUGUUUUAGCAGAACCUGAGGUUUAUCUGCGUGGCUAUGCCGUGCCGUGGUAAGGGAUGGGUCGGGAAGGUAUUUAAACCCUCACUGAGCCUCAUGGGUUUUAAAAUGAAAGAGUGCAAGUAGGAUUUCUAAAGUCUCUUCAGUAAUCAGUCCAGGCCUGAAAGCCACAAGGCCAGGCGGCCAUCCAUCAGAACCUGCUGCCCGCACAGGGCCUGAGACCCCGUCGCAUCACGGAGCUCUGCAGAUGUCUGGCAGGUGGGUUCCCUCCUGGACCACAGCUGAGCUGGAUGGUAAUGGAUAAAAUCGCCAUCGGUGAAGGUAGGACCUUUCUCUGUCUUGUAUGGCCUGAGCUGUGAACGAGGAAGAAGACACUCAUUUGUUGAACAUGUAUUUCUUUGGCACCAUCUAUGUGUCAGUAAAUAAACCAGAUAAAAUUGCCUGCUCCUGGGGGUUU
rnacentral:lncRNA from 1 species